rnacentral:rRNA from 1 species
GAUGAACGCUGGCGGCGUGCCUAAUACAUGCAAGUCGAGCGAACAGACGAGGAGUUUGUUCCUCGGACGUUAGCGGCGGACGGGUGAGUAACACGUGUAUAACCUACUUAUAAGACUGGGAUAACUUCGGGACACCGGAGCUUAUCCCGGAUAAUAUAUUGAACCGCAUGGUUCAAUAGUGAAAGACGGCUUUUCUGGAACUUAUAGAUGGAUCCCGGCUGCAUUAUCUAGUUGGGAAGGUCACAGCCUACCACGGCAACGAUGCGUGGCCGACGUGAGUGGGUGGUCGGCCACACGGGAAGGGAGCCAGGGUCAAGGCGACUAAGGUACGCACCAGACGGGAAUGGUCCGCAGUGGGCGAAAGCUUGACGGAGCAAGCCCGAGUGAGUGAUAAAGGCCUUCGGAUCGUAAAACUCUCUUAUGAGGGAAGAACAAAUGUGUAAGUAGCUAUGCACGUCUUGACGGUACUUAAUCAGAAAGCCACGGCUAACUACGUG